GAGUUUGAUCAUGGCUCAGAACGAACGCUGGCGGCAUGCCUAACACAUGCAAGUCGAACGAUGCUUUCGGGCAUAGUGGCGCACGGGUGCGUAACGCGUGGGAAUCUGCCCUUAGGUUCGGAAUAACAGUUAGAAAUGACUGCUAAUACCGGAUGAUGACGUAAGUCCAAAGAUUUAUCGCCUAGGGAUGAGCCCGCGUAGGAUUAGCUAGUUGGUGUGGUAAAGGCGCACCAAGGCGACGAUCCUUAGCUGGUCUGAGAGGAUGAUCAGCCACACUGGGACUGAGACACGGCCCAGACUCCUACGGGAGGCAGCAGUGGGGAAUAUUGGACAAUGGGCGCAAGCCUGAUCCAGCAAUGCCGCGUGAGUGAUGAAGGCCUUAGGGUGGUAAAGCUCUUUUACCCCGUGAUGAUAAUGGCAGUAGCGGGAGAAUAAGCCCCG
rnacentral:rRNA from 1 species